rnacentral:rRNA from 1 species
AGUGAACGCUGGCGGUAGGCCUAACACAUGCAAGUCGAACGGCAGCACAGUAAGAGCUUGCUCUUACGGGUGGCGAGUGGCGGACGGGUGAGGAAUACAUCGGAAUCUACUUUUUCGUGGGGGAUAACGUAGGGAAACUUAUGCUAAUACCGCAUACGACCUACGGGUGAAAGCAGGGGAUCUUCGGACCUUGCGCGAUUGAAUGAGCCGAUGUCGGAUUAGCUAGUUGGCGGGGUAAAGGCCCACCAAGGCGACGAUCCGUAGCUGGUCUGAGAGGAUGAUCAGCCACACGGGAACGGAGACACGGUCCAGACUCCUACGGGAGGCAGCAGUGGGGAAUAUUGGACAAUGGGCGCAAGCCUGAUCCAGCCAUACCGCGUGGGUGAAGAAGGCCUUCGGGUUGUAAAGCCCUUUUGUUGGGAAAGAAAAGCAGCAGGUUAAUACCCCGCUGUUCUGACGGUACCCAAAGAAUAAGCACCGGCUAACUUCGUG